rnacentral:rRNA from 1 species
AUUGAACGCUGGCGGCAGGCCUAACACAUGCAAGUCGAGCGAGCGGCGGACGGGUGAGUCAUGCCUGGGCAUUGCUCAGUCGAGGGUGAUAACAGUUGGCAACGACUGCUAAUAGCUCAUACGAUUGUAUUGCCCGGGUGGGAUUAGCUAGUUGGUGAGGUAAUGGCUCACCAAGGCGACGAUCCCUAGCUGGUCUGAGAGGAUGAUCGGCCACACUGGAACUGAGACACGGUCCAGACUCCUACGGGAGGCAGCAGUGGGGAAUAUUGCACAAUGGGGGAAACCCUGAUGCAGCCAUGCCGCGUGUGUGAAGAAGGCCUUCGGGUUGUAAAGCACUUUCAGCGAGGAGGCGUUACUCGCAGAAGAAGCACCGGCUAACUCCGUGCCAGCAGCCGCGGUAAUAC